GAGACGCUGCGGCGUGCUUAACACAUGCAAGUCGAACGAUGACCCGGUGCUUGCACCGGUGAUUAGUGGCGAACGGGUGAGUAACACGUGAGUAACCUGCCCUUAACUCUGGGAUAAGCCUGGGAAACUGGGUCUAAUACCGGAUAUGACUCCUCAUCGCAUGGUGGGGGGUGGAAAGCUUUAUUGUGGUUUUGGAUGGACUCGCGGCCUAUCAGCUUGUUGGUGAGGUAAUGGCUCACCAAGGCGACGACGGGUAGCCGGCCUGAGAGGGUGACCGGCCACACUGGGACUGAGACACGGCCCAGACUCCUACGGGAGGCAGCAGUGGGGAAUAUUGCACAAUGGGCGCAAGCCUGAUGCAGCGACGCCGCGUGAGGGAUGACGGCCUUCGGGUUGUAAACCUCUUUCAGUAGGGAAGAAGCGAAAGUGACGGUACCUGCAGAAGAAGCGCCGGCUAACUACGUGCCAGCAGCCGCGGUAAUACGUAGGGCGCAAGCGUUAUCCGGAAUUAUUGGGCGUAAAGAGCUCGUAGGCGGUUUGUCGCGUCUGCCGUGAAAGUCCGGGGCUCAACUCCGGAUCUGCGGUGGGUACGGGCAGACUAGAGUGAUGUAGGGGAGACUGGAAUUCCUGGUGUAGCGGUGAAAUGCGCAGAUAUCAGGAGGAACACCGAUGGCGAAGGCAGGUCUCUGGGCAUUAACUGACGCUGAGGAGCGAAAGCAUGGGGAGCGAACAGGAUUAGAUACCCUGGUAGUCCAUGCCGUAAACGUUGGGCACUAGGUGUGGGGGACAUUCCACGUUUUCCGCGCCGUAGCUAACGCAUUAAGUGCCCCGCCUGGAG
rnacentral:rRNA from 1 species